AUACGGAGGAUGCGAGCGUUAUCCGGAUUUAUUGGGUUUAAAGGGAGCGUAGGUGGGAUAUUAAGUCAGCUGUGAAAGUUUGGGGCUCAACCUUAAAAUUGCAGUUGAUACUGGUUUCCUUGAGUACGGUACAGGUGGGCGGAAUUCGUGGUGUAGCGGUGAAAUGCUUAGAUAUCACGAAGAACUCCGAUUGCGAAGGCAGCCUGCUGGACUGUAACUGACGCUGAUGCUCGAAAGUGUGGGUAUCAAACAGGAUUAGAUACCCUGGUAGUCCACACAGUAAACGAUGAAUACUCGCUGUUUGCGAUAUACAGUAAGCGGCCAAGCGAAAGCGUUAAGUAUUCCACCUGGGGAGUACGCCGGCAACGGUGAAACUUAAAGGAAUUGGCGGGG
rnacentral:rRNA from 1 species